GCUCCCUCCGCCGCGGCUCAGAGCAUCGUUACUCUGACUGUCAGUGUGCUCACUAAAUUGUGUCAGUCACACAGUUGGUUUUCAGCAGGCGUCACUCUGAAGUCGUCUCUAAUGGCGUGCCAUGCACCAAACGCCGCGUCUUACCUAGUUGACGGUGCUGAGUGUAGCCCCCCGAAGCCGCCUCAAACCUAUUACUGAAAACCGGGAGAGAGGAAAGAGGAGAGGUGAGCAGACGAAAAGCACGAGACAAAACGCUAAUCAAAGCUGGGAGAGGGAGAGAAAGAGAAGAACCACAAAGAAAGCAGUGACAUCAUCCUCGCGCUGGAAAAAAAGGAGAAAGACAGCGAGAAGAAAAGAGAGCGACAAGGCCUCCUAGUUGGCGUACCUAUGCAUCUGUCAUUGAUUUCUUCCUCUGUAAAUAUUUGAAGGGCCAAUAAAGCCCUUUCUUUAUUUACUCCACUUUAUUUAUUCAGGCUCAUGCUAGCGCCUCGCAGUCUCCCUCUGGAAGGUGCGGCGUCAUCACCGCCCAAUUACUCAUGCAUUAUUAAAGCUUGUCUCCUUUCCUUUCUACUUCCUAUGUGAAGGUAGCAUUAUUAAAAGCUACUGUAUUCUUGCCCACUUCCUCCUUCCUUCCUUCCUUCCUUUCUUCCUAUCCUCCGCGCAUUUAAAAUCCUCCCUUUUCAUUUCUUCCGUGAUUUCCUUUUUUUGUCUUCUUUCUCCUCUUUUCUCUGUUAAAAGCUGACUUCCUACCUCCUCGGUUCCCCACAUAAUGUAAUACCCCGAAACUUCCUCUCUCUCUCGUUGUCUGUCCCUCCUCCGCUUCUCUUUUUCCUAACUCACUUCCAUGCUAUUCGCCCCGGGCUGCCUCCUGCAUCCUAACACAGGGAAUUGAAAAUCCUCCUAAGCUCUGAUCUGUGUGUGUAUGUGUGUUUUUUGAGAGAGAGAUUGUGUGUGUGUGUUGGGAGAGAGAUUGUGUGUGUGUGUGUUGGGAGAGUGAUUGUCUGUGUGUGUCUGACUUGUCUUUCAUUAGAGGGAGCUUUGAUGUGAAGGAACAAUGAAGGUGGCAUUGUCACUAAGGAUCUUUUUUUAAUAUAACUGCCUGGUGUCUCUUUCUGCACUGCCAGGUCACAGUGACAUCUUAUUUCAGAGAUAUAGGGUUGGAUAUGGGAAGUCAACUGCCUGGUGUCUCUGUCUGCACUGCCAGGUCACAGUGACAUCUUAUUUCAGAGAUAUAGGGUUGGAUAUGGGAAGUCAACUGCCUGGUGUCUCUGUCUGCACUGCCAGUACACAGUGACAUAUUUUUUCAGAGAUAUAGGGUUGGAUAUGGGAAGUCAACUGCCUGGUGUCUCUGUCUGCACUGCCAGUUCACAGUGACAUAUUUUUUCAGAGAUAUAGGGUUGGAUAUGGGAAGUCAACUGCCUGGUGUCUCCGUCUGCACUGCCAGUUCACAGUGACAUAUUUUUCCAGAGAUAUAGGGUUGGAUAUGGGAAGUCCAGUACACACAUAGAGUGUACCGCGACCUCAGAGAGGUGAGACGGUGAAACGGUUGGACAGACAAAGGAGAAGGGGUGGAGAGAGAACACACAGUGACAUGCUUGUACGAAAACAAAGCACAGCACAGACCGUACAAUAACAAUCCAACACCUCUUUACCAAUCUAAAUCCAACCCCUCCUCUCCAACAAUGCAGAGUUACAGAGACAAGAGAGGAAGAGACCAGGGGAGGGAGAGACCAGGGGAGGGAGAGACCAGGGGAGGGAGAGGGGGCGAGAUAGAGAGGGGAAGAGAAACAGGCAUAAACAAGGUAGUGAAAAUAGAAACACACCGUUGUACAGGGGACCAGAGGCAUCCAUUCUCUCCACCACUUCAAAAACCCGGGCAGACGACAUGAGGAAACAGCACCCGUCCCAAAAAGCACCCCGUUGCCCGUGCAGUGCACUCCUUCUGACCAGAAUGCCUAGCAGCACUGUGGGGAAUAGGGGGCCAUUUUGGACACUGUCACAGAGGGAGAUGUUUCCAAGGAAGCUCAUGGGUCCCAUGGGGACAAUGGUCCAGUUGUGCAGAAGCCCAGUAACUGCUCUGAAAAUGUAUUUAUUUUUUGUCCAGCUAAAUGAGUUGUAAGUAGAUUACUGAAGAUGUUGUUAUAUAUAGUCUUACUAUGAGGUUAUUCUUGAUUCGUAUUGACCCUAACCCUUAUGCCACGAUUGAAGUUACUGCACUUUCACGUGGUUGGGCAAAGCAGGGCGCUCUUCCAACCGCCCGAAAUAUUACAGAAGUGAUAUUUAUCUCCCCUGAAAUGUAUGUUUUCAUAUUUCAUAUUUGUGGGGUCGCAUUCUCCCUCAGCGUGUGUACGGGAGAUCGGCUAAAUGCCUCAGGAGAGACGUACCAGACCUCAGGCAGACUGGGCCUUGAGCACUUGUGGCCUCAACUACAUAAUCCAAACAUUAUGUUCCACAACCAUAGCUGAAUUCCCAGGAUAACACACACACACACACACUGAUGGAUGGGCCCUCCUCCCCAACACACUGCAUUAUAACUUCAUCCCUGACACGUUGUAUAUGAGCAGGAGCCCUCAGCCUGUAUCAUAAGUAGACCUAUUUAUAGCAUCCAUGCCGCGGCGGAGGCGCUCACAGGGGAGAACAUGAGUGAGUGUUGUUAAUAUUCCAAAUGCUAAUACCGACAACUCUCUAAUCGCCCACUUCCACAUAACAGUAGGCUGCGUCUUACAGAAAUCGCAGAACACUUUGAGUGAACUAUCCCUUCAAAGGAAUGUUUGAAACUUUAUCUUCAAGGGACAGUUCUCUUAAAAUACAAUCCUUUAUAGCCAUAUUUUGACGGAAGUGUCUUUGAAGACCCACACCAGUGGAAAUCAUUUUUAUCGACCAGAAAGUCGAUGUCCAGACCUUACCCAUAAUGUUGUACAGCGGUUCACGUCAAUAGGUCAUAUGACAUAACUAAGAUUGAGGUGAUAAAUCCAAUCUUCUCAGGUGUCUGUGAAAUCUGUCAUUUCCUAGAAAAUGAUGUGCAUACUCUUUGCAGCUGGCCUUUCAGUUCAGAGCUCAGGUUUAUUUGUCUUUGGGGCUCCAACUGACAGUCAGCUAUGUCAGUUACGCUACACUUGCAUUGCAAUAGCCCUGUUGUAAUUCUUUUUCCUUUUGUUACGAUCUGCUUAUCGUAAUAAUUUCGGUAAUUUGUGACAUUUCGCAAAUGUUUUAGCUAUUGUGUGUACAGCAAAAAUAUAUGAAUAUCUGAGGAAAUCGUGAAUGAGGAAAUUGUGUGAUAUGAUUGCAUUUUACAUUGCCGGAGGUUCAAUGGUUUUAUACCACUAAUGUAACAAGCACAUUUACAGUCAUGUAAGAAAGUACCCCCAGGAUGUUACAUAUUUGGACGUGUGGAUGUGUAAUCUUUACAUCAACACUACUGACAGAUAAAGGUAUACCUAAUUUAACAAAUGACACUGAAAGAUUGUACUUGGCAGUCACUGCAGAAAUACGCUAGGUUCAAAUAGCUGUUUUAGCCCCCUUUGGCUGAAACGCCUUCAUGCAGUUUCUUGUAACCGUCUAUCAGUGUUGUACAUCGACUGGGAGGAACUUUUGCCCCCUUUUCAGUACAGUGCUGCUUCAACGGUAAUGUUCAAGGGCUUUCUUGCAUGCGCAUCUUGUUUCAAGUCCUCCCACAGCAUUCCAAUAGGACUGAAAUCUGGACAUUGUCUCAGCCAUUCCAUUACCCUCCAUCUCCUCUGUUCGAGCCAUCCUGUUGUAGCUUUGCUUGUGUGUUUCGGGUCAUUGGUCUUGUGGAAAGAUCCAAGAUGACCUUUGGUCUAGAGAUUUAGAUUAGAUUGGAUUCAACUUUAUUGUCAUUGAACAAGUAAAGGUACGGUACAACAAGAUGCAGUUAGCAUCUAACCAGAAGUGCUAAUAGACGAGGGCGGAAAAUGUACAAGUAUUAAGUGGAAUGGUACUGAGGGCUACCUCGCAAUCCCCAAGUCCAAGUAUAAAGGCUUUGGUGACAGGGCUUUCUCCUAGGCUCUGGAACUCGCUCCCCAAAACCAUCUGUGACUCUGAGACUAUCCCCAUCUUCCAGCAAUGCCUCAAAACUCAUCUGUUCAAAAUCACCUACCCUUAGCCAUGCCCAGGCCCAUUCUCUCAAUUGUCUUUGUUUUACCAUGGUAUUUUUUUUGUUUGUUUCUGUUCCAUGUUCAUUUUGUAAAGCGUCUUUGGGUCCCUGAAAAGCGCUAUAUAAAUAUAAUGCAUUAUUAGUGAUGGGUCACAGAGUUCAGCAGUCUAUCUAAAUCACCUGGGUAAAUAUUUAUAUGGAGGAUUUUUGGCUGUGAUUCAGAUUAUGUUGGUGUAGCUAGCAAGUUGUGCUAGCUAGCUACAGCCUGGGCUCCAUUAUAGGAAAUUGUCAUGAUACGAUAUACGAGGAUGCAGUUGUUGGUGGUCUUAAAUGGAAAGCAGACCGAAAAUAUAAUGAUUAAAGCGCCCAUAUUAUGACUGCUUUUCAACUUAUAGGUCUAUAAGUUCCAUAAAACAUGUUUCUGAAGUUGUUUGCUGGAAAUAGCUUGUAGGAAAAGAUUCUUACCUCCCUCUAUUACCCUCUGUUUCAGUCCCUUUCAAAGUUUUCUGCUGCUCAUUGCAUAUUCAUUAGCUGCUGCUCCUUUGCCCACGCCCACUCUAACUGUUACCAUGGUAGCGGGGAGAGCGUAGUAGUAAAAGAGAGAAAUGCCAUCAACUUCAUCUUUUAGAAUGUAUGUAUUAUUAUGCCAACAGAUACAUCAAGCAAAAAAGUAUCACUAAUAAAUACACUCCAGGAGAAGAAACUACAGAAUGGUUGGCUUCAAGUGUAAAUAGUGCUGUGAUGUAGCAGUCUAAACCAUACACUUGUUUUGCCCUAGACAACGCUAACAUAUUCCCGUUUGUAAAUAUAAUAUUAUAAAAUAUUUACAAAUGCAUUAUUUGCACAAAUCCCCGAAAUUAUAUCCGGCGGGGGAUGAGUAUUGCUUGACCGACUGAGUCUCCGGGUUUGUAUGUGGACACCAUGCUAAUAGCUAGAAGCUAGCGGUUAGCGUUACCUUGUACUAUGUGGCAAAACACUAGCUAGCUAAAAUGUUAGUUUGCCAAAACACUUCUUGGUUAGUUUGUGUAGAAUUGCAAAAUAAAGACAGCUAAUUGUAUAGAACUACUUACAUGUCCCUUGUCUGCAGGUAUUCCACGCAAAGUUUGAAUUGCGCACUCUUUUAGCAAAAGUUUCUUGGCUAAUCCUGCCUUGUACUGACCGAAGUUGGAGAAACAGCCGUCUCAAACUGGUUAGCACAAACCGAAAAAAUUUUGAUAACUGUAGCAGGGACAUUGCCUUCAAAAAUGAAUUCAAGCCAUGCCACUCUUCUGUCCUCUGCGGCUGGGACGCGAUGGAGUGUUUUGUGCUCCUCUUUACAGCCAACCACAGUUUAAGUGGUGCUUCGACAUGGUGGUUCUGAAUCAGUAACAACAUGGAGGAUAUCAGAGAAGAAGUUACUGCUGUACCUGGUGGGUGGAGGGUGGGAAUAUUUAAAUUUUUCGGACUGUGACGUCACAGUCCGAGGAGUUUUCUAACAGCUCACCCAGAGACUGAAGACAGAGGACAUUCAGAAACCUAUAUCUCACUCAAAACAGCAUGGAUGUUUUUUUUCCAAAGUUUGUAUGCGUGUGGAAGCACCAGAGACGCAAAAGAACACCCCAAAACCCAGAAAACGUGAUUUUUUUCAUAAUAUGGGCACUUUAAGCAUUUUCAGUGAACUGUCCCUUUAAGUGAAUAAACAGGGUCCUUUUAUAGAAAGGACCGUUGUGAUGUUCUGUGAAUCGCAACACCUGGAGGCUGUCGUCAUCGGCUGUGCAGCUCUUCAAGGGCCUCGGGAGAGCGCUGCGUUACAGAAGAUGGCUGCCUUUGAUCUGGCUUAGAGAUGGAGAGAAACAAUAGCGUCAGCUGGAGAGGCCCCACACUGGAACAACACAUACACACACUCAAAGACACAUAGGAACGAUGCACUCUACAGCAAAUAGUCAAACUGAACACAUGGCAGGCUCCUUUGAAGCAGCGGGAAUGUGAUAGGGAGGAGGCAGCAGCAGCAGUUACAUGACAGUCAGACG
ensembl:lncRNA